UACGUAGGGGGCAAGCGUUGUCCGGAUUCAUUGGGCGUAAAGAGCGUGUAGGCGGCCAGGUAGGUCGGUUGUGAAAACUGGAGGCUCAACCUUCAGAGGUCGACCGAAACCAUCUGGCUAGAGUCCGGGAGAGGAGAGUGGAAUUCCAGGUGUAGCGGUGAAAUGCGUAGAUAUCUGGAGGAACACCGGUGGCGAAGGCGGCAUCCUGGACCGGUAUUGACGCUGAGGCGCGAAAGCUAGGGGAGCAAACAGG
rnacentral:rRNA from 1 species